AUGACAAGCUCCAGCGGGAGCAAGCGACGUAUGAGCGUGCGACAGGCAAGCGGGAGGCUUGGGGAUCCUCUUUGUCCUGGCGCCGAGAGGAGGACCGCCAUUCAGGACAGAGGGGCGGCUAGGUCAUUGGUUUCUCCACCUUCCACCUCGCGCGCGGGCCUUCCGGCUCAUGUUGCCGAUCCCUGGGAGGUGAUGGGUUUUGGUGGUGCGGCAUCUCAUGGGCCGCCUACUAGGACGACGCCGGCGGGUGGCCGUCCUUCUGGCCCUCCUCUUGGUGAUGGUUUCCAGGAUCCGGUGAGGCAGCGGCUAGGGAGGUCGAGGCGAGGCGGCGGACCGGACGAGCCUGGAGAGCAGAUCAGCCGGCAAGCCGGACCAGCAGUGCCGCCGUCUCCUUCUUGCUCUUUCUAUGAGCAGGAGCAGGGGUCGCCCAGCCGCCGCAGCCCCGACGGGAAAGGGCCGCCGCGGUCCUCCUUUCGGUUACGCGCUUGGCCGCCGCACUUCUCCAGCCACCUCCCAGCGCCAAGUACACCCCGGCCGCCUCCUCCACUUGCCUACUCCUGGCGACGCGCGCCGCGCCUAGCACGCGCCCCGCCGUUCCCCUCCUGCUGCCUCCUCCUAGCGACGCACGCCACGGUCAGGGGGCCUGUUUCCCUAGGUCCCCAACGCCGACGGUCGAUUACAGUGCCAUCUAGGUGUUGUUGCUGCAUACUUGGGUGGGAGAUUGAACAUAUGUGCCAACUUUCUUCUGUCGGCAGAGAGACCAAAAUGGCUAGAGAAGGAGAUGUGCCUGACAAUGAAACAGAGGGUUCUGCAAAUCCGAUCUCACGACGGCACUCAAAAAGGGCUGCUAAGCGGCAGCCGCAUGGCGAUGAUAAGGACGGGGAUGGAGAGGAUGACGAUGGUGGCGAAAGAUUCCUCUUAGUAAAACUGCAGAGAAGAAAGGUGCGCAUGAAGGCAGUAUCCAAAGGGGUAGAUGCCACAUCUUCUGCAGCAGCCGCUGAGGGGGGUGAGGGUAAUGAAGAAGAUAAUGCAGAACGACAGUCACAAGCUGGUAGGAUAAGGGCAUCUCCUGGGAGGUUGGUGAAGUUGAACAAUAAGUUGAGCCCAUUACAAAAGUCCCCCCCUCUGCCACAAGCUGUUUGGAGGCCUGGAUUCAUGUUUUAG
rnacentral:rRNA from 1 species